rnacentral:rRNA from 1 species
AGCGAACGCUGGCGGCAGGCUUAACACAUGCAAGUCGAGCGGACCUUUCGGGGUCAGCGGCGGACGGGUGAGUAACGCGUGGGAACGUGCCUUCCGGUUCGGAAUAACCCUGGGAAACUAGGGCUAAUACCGGAUACGCCCUUAUGGGGAAAGGUUUACUGCCGGAAGAUCGGCCCGCGUCUGAUUAGCUAGUUGGUGGGGUAACGGCCUACCAAGGCGACGAUCAGUAGCUGGUCUGAGAGGAUGCUCAGCCACACUGGGACUGAGACACGGCCCAGACUCCUACGGGAGGCAGCAGUGGGGAAUAUUGGACAAUGGGCGCAAGCCUGAUCCAGCCAUGCCGCGUGAGUGAUGAAGGCCUUAGGGUUGUAAAGCUCUUUUAUCCGGGACGAUAAUGACGGUACCGGAGGAAUAAGCCCCGGCUAACUUCGUG